rnacentral:rRNA from 1 species
UACAGAGGUCUCAAGCGUUGUUCGGAUUUCAUUGGGCGUAAAGGGUGCGUAGGUGGCGGGGUAAGUCAGGUGUGAAAUCUCGAGGCUCAACCUCGAAACUGCACUUGAUACUGCCUUUGCUCGAGUACUGGAGAGGAGAUUGGAAUUUACGGUGUAGCAGUGAAAUGCGUAGAUAUCGUAAGGAAGACCAGUGGCGAAGGCGGCUGGCUGGGUCCACAUUGACGCUGAGGCUCGAAAGCGUGGGGAGCAAACAGG